rfam:Triticum aestivum genome assembly, contig: Triticum_aestivum_CS42_TGACv1_scaffold_602667_7DL
AUAUUACUCCCUCCGUCCGGAAAAACUUGUCUCAACCUUGUCUCUCAAAUGGAUGUAUCUAGCACUAACUUGGUGCUAGAUACAUCCAUUCGAGGGACAAGCUUUUUCGGACGGAGGGAGUACUCA